UGUGGCUGCUAUCUCUCUCCCACUCUCACAUGGUCACCCACUGAAGCUAAGCAGGGCUGCACCUGGUUAGUACCUGGAUGGGAGACCACAUGGGAAAGCUAGGUUGCUGCCGGAA
rfam:Danio rerio chromosome 5, GRCz11 reference primary assembly.